rnacentral:rRNA from 1 species
AUUGAACGCUGGCGGAAUGCUUUACACAUGCAAGUCGAACGGCAGCACGGGGGUAACCCUGGUGGCGAGUGGCGAACGGGUGAGUAAUACAUCGGAACGUGCCCAGUCGUGGGGGAUAACGUAGCGAAAGCUACGCUAAUACCGCAUACGAUCUCUGGAUGAAAGCGGGGGACCGCAAGGCCUCGCGCGAUUGGAGCGGCCGAUGGCAGAUUAGGUAGUUGGUGGGGUAAAGGCUCACCAAGCCGACGAUCUGUAGCUGGUCUGAGAGGACGACCAGCCACACUGGGACUGAGACACGGCCCAGACUCCUACGGGAGGCAGCAGUGGGGAAUUUUGGACAAUGGGCGCAAGCCUGAUCCAGCCAUUCCGCGUGCAGGAUGAAGGCCCUCGGGUUGUAAACUGCUUUUGUACGGAACGAAAAGGCUCUGGUUAAUACCUGGGGCUCAUGACGGUACCGUAAGAAUAAGCACCGGCUAACUACGUGCCAGCCGCCGCGGUAACAC